rnacentral:lncRNA from 7 species
AGCAUUUUCCAGCGGUUUCUCUAGCAGUGAGGUGGCGAGAAAGAAAGCAUAGCAGCUCAGAAUAUAAGGAGGAUUAGAAGAGUGCAUUGCCUAAGAAGGCAUCCUCGUCCUGUUUGCAGCUAUGUCAAGAGAUCCCACACAUAGAAGUUUUCUGUGCCCCACGUAUGAGCUCUUUCCCUUAUGCAAGCAAGCCAAGACAGGACUGGCGUGAGUGGGAUGGAGGUUUUGGGACCACACCUAGCUCACAGAAACUUGAUUUGGAGCCAGCUGUGGUGUACGCCAAUAAAACCUGCAAUCAGUGACAGCUUUCAUCCCAAAUGUGUCCGGGCUGACUUCCCUUUCAAAAUAAUGGAGGAUGAGACUGCAAGCAGGUCAGAGAAGAACGUCACACAAUUGAAUUCAUCUGCAAGCCCAUGGAUGAGGAUAGAUCUCCUGCUUUCUAAUAUAAAAAAUUCAAUGGUGGCAGCUAAAACUUAAACAGCUGAUUAUUUUUUGUUUCCGGUUUCCCAUCAGGUCUCUCAGUGAAACACUACUCCCACACUCAGUCUCCCGAAAGCCUCCAUAUUCUGUCUCUUUGGUAUUAAAAGAGAUGCGGUGUUCU